rnacentral:rRNA from 1 species
GUACAAGGUUCUCGUUGGUGAACCAGCGGAGGGAUCAUUA